UAGGUCUCUAGACGUUACAGAGAACCCCGUACAACCCAAACUGUUAACCUUCAAUACUGCUUUGUACUUACGAUCUUGUAUCCACUGACUGUCUUCUUAGAUUAACCCAAUAAAUUUCAUUCACUCCGCAUACUCAAUCCUAUAGACACCCUUUUAAUCCUUCAAUCACAGACGUAACUCGAUUUCACAAAACAGUCAAGAGUAUUCAAACCUACUUCAUUUGAAAAUCCCGAUUCACCAUUACAACA
rnacentral:lncRNA from 1 species